rnacentral:rRNA from 1 species
UACGUAGGGUGCGAGCGUUGUCCGGAAUUAUUGGGCGUAAAGAGCUCGUAGGCGGUCUGUCACGUCGGCUGUGAAAUCCCGAGGCUCAACCUCGGGUCUGCAGUCGAUACGGGCAAACUAGAGUAUUGCAGGGGAGACUGGAAUUCCUGGUGUAGCGGUGAAAUGCGCAGAUAUCAGGAGGAGCACCGGUGGCGAAGGCGGGUCUCUGGGCAAUAACUGACGCUGAGGAGCGAAAGCGUGGGGAGCGAACAGG